GAUGAACGCUGGCGGCGUGCCUAAUACAUGCAAGUCGAACGGGGAGUCGCAAUACUCUUAGUGGCGAACGGGUGAGUAACGCGUUGGUACCUGCCCCGAAGCGGGGGAUAACGGACCGAAAGGUCCGCUAAUACCCCAUGUGCUCGGUAACGAGUAAAGGUGAAAACCACUUUGGGAGGGGCCUGCGUCCCAUCAGCUAGUUGGUAAGGUAACGGCUUACCAAGGCGAUGACGGGUAGGGGACCUGAGAGGGUGGCCCCCCACAAUGGAACUGAAACACGGUCCAUACACCUACGGGUGGCAGCAGUAGGGAAUAUUGGUAAUGGGCGCAAGCCUGAACCAGCAACGGCGCGUGGGCGAUGACGGCCUUCGGGUUGUAAAGCACUUUUGACGGGGACGAGGAAGGACGGUACCGGUCGAAUCAGCCGCGGCUAACUACGUG
rnacentral:rRNA from 1 species